rnacentral:rRNA from 1 species
CCUACGGGUGGCUGCAGUAGGGAAUCUUCCACAAUGGGCGAAAGCCUGAUGGAGCAACGCCGCGUGGGUGAAGAAGGUCUUCGGAGCGUAAAACCCUGUUGUUAGAGAAGAAAGUGCGGGAGAGUAACUGUUCACGUGUCGACGGUAUCUAACCAGAAAGCCACGGCUAACGACGUGCCAGCAGCCGCGGUAAUACGUAGGUGGCAAGCGUUCUCCGGAUUUAUUGGGCGUAAAGGGAACGCAGGCGGUCUGUUACGUCUGAUGUGAAAGCCUUCGGCUUAACCGGAGUAGUGCAUUGGAAACUGGGAGACUUGAGUGCAGCAGAGGAGAGUGGAACUCCAUGUGUCGCUGU